rnacentral:rRNA from 1 species
AUUGAACGCUGGCGGCAUGCCUUACACAUGCAAGUCGAACGGUAACAGGUCUUCGGAUGCUGACGAGUGGCGAACGGGUGAGUAAUACAUCGGAACGUGCCUAGUAGUGGGGAUAACUACUCGAAAGAGUGGCUAAUACCGCAUGAGAUCUACGGAUGAAAGCAGGGGAUCGCAAGACCUUGUGCUACUAGAGCGGCCGAUGGCAGAUUAGGUAGUUGGUGGGAUAAAAGCUUACCAAGCCGACGAUCUGUAGCUGGUCUGAGAGGACGAUCAGCCACAAUGGGACUGAGACACGGCCCAGACUCCUACGGGAGGCAGCAGUGGGGAAUUUUGGACAAUGGGCGCAAGCCUGAUCCAGCAAUGCCGCGGGCAGGACGAAGGCCUUCGGGUUGGAAACUGCUUUUGUACGGAACGAAAAGCCCUGGGUUAAUACCCUGGGGUCAUGACGGUACCGUAAGAAUAAGCACCGGCUAACUACGUGCCAGCAGCCGCCGUAAGAC